UCUAAACAAAUUCUUCGCCAGUCUGUGUUUGCCACAAAUAAAGCAGCUUCAAGAAGUUCAGAUGUACCAAAAGGUUUCUUAGCAGUUUACAUUGGAGAGCUUGAGAAGAAGCGAUUUGUCGUUCCAAUAUCUUAUCUAAAAGAGCCUUUAUUUCAAGAUUUGUUAAGAGAAGCUGAAGAUGAGUUUGGCUUUGAUCAUCCAAUGGGUGGUUUGACAAUUCCUUGCAGAGAGGAAGCUUUCCUUUAUGUCACUUCCAACUUGAAAAGCAGAUCUUAAGAAUAUUCAAAGUCAAUUAACUCAUCAUAGAAAACAAUUUUGUAAGGCAGAAAUUGCCUGUUAAGUGUAAAUAUCUUCUCUUUAGUACAGAAUCAAAGACAAUUCGAUUAGAUAAUUCAACUAUAUCUCUUUGCAGUAUAACUUUCUUAUAAUUUUUCUUUUUAAGUUAAUUUUUCUUUUGAAGUUCAUUCUUGACAAUCAAAUUAAACAAUGAAAUGUUGGAGUAAAAUUUAUAUAAAAAUGUACUUAAGGAAAGAUACUUAUGGUUUUGGAACUCAUAAUUGAAUCCCAUUUCUCCUUGUUUGUAUAUCAAUGAAAUUUUUUAAUGGAAAGUUUCCAUUAAGUUUAGUUGUCAUUUUGUACAGCGCAGUCAUUGAUGAAUUUUCAUGGCUUGUCUCGUGAUUUCGAUUUCUAUUAUUUAUAUGGGGAAAGUAAGUCAUGCGCAGCUGAGAAAUAAAGCUUGAUGCUAUAGGACAAUAGCACCACAUAAAUCUAAAGAUUGAACCCGAGGCAUAGGAUUCGAACUUGAGGCCUGACAGCUUUGGAGAAACUCCACUACUAUUAUACCAGUUUUCUUCUACUUUAUUGUUAAUCUAUUGGAUAUAAUUAUAUGCCAUGUCUUGUAUGAAGGAAAUACACAUCAGAUUUCAGAUUCCUCCAUCUCUUUCUAAACCAUAUUUCUCAGAUAUAGUUCCUUGAAACUGUUCAGGAAAACAAAAGGGACUUGAUUACAAAUAUUAUUCAAACUGAAUGGAAGGAGAAGAAAAUGAAAUGGGGAGCAAUAGAAAUAUAUAUAUAGGAAUAAGAAAUCCUUUCUCUUUUUUGUUUGUUUGUUUAAGUUUUCUCCAACAAAAACUGCUUAAUAACUUUUUGAAACAUCUAAAAAAAUUGUUCGUCAAAGAAUCUGACUAGCAUUUGUAAUAACAGGAAAGUAAAUAGCUAAUGGAUUAUAUAAAAAGAUGUACAAAGAAUUUCCAAAAGAUGGUUUUUCUCAUAUAGCAGAAUUGUUUUUCUUCUGUAAUAUAUAUUUACACUGAGUUGGCAAUUUAUACCUUACAAAAUUGUUUUAUGUGAUAGAUUAAUUGCCUCUGCAUGCCUACUCUUGUCAAGCUCUCUUCAAGUUGGAAGUGACAUGAAGGAAAGUAUCUUCUCCGCAAGGAAUUAUCAAACCGCCCAUGGGAUGAUCAAAGCCGAACUCAUCUUCAGAUUUGCUUAACAAAUCUUGAAAUAGAGGCUCUUUUAGAUAAGAUAUGGAACUACAAAUCGCUUCUUCUCAAUUUCCCCAAUAUAAACUGCUAAGAAACCUUUUGGUACAUCUGAACUUCUUGAAGCUGCUUUAUUUGUGGCAAACACAGACUGGCGAAAAAAAAUUUGCUUAGAAAGAUUAUCAGCCAAACGAAUGGCCAUACUCAUCUUCUUGCUGGUAUAUAAUAUCAGAAAAGAACCAAAAAAUAUGAACUUUCCGAUCUUUAUUGCUCAAGGAAAAUGCAUAAAAAGAGUGAAUACUUUGAGGGUUUUAGCCAAAGUAUGUGAAGUCAAUAUAUACAGAUGCAGUAAAUUAUUGACAGCAUUCUAAAAUUUGGAUUUAGUGGCCAAGAAAUAUUGGCUAUGUUUAGCCCACUCAAAACAGAUUCAUGAGAUAGAGGUACCACAAGGUUCCCUGUUCAGAAACAAGGUUAGUCAGGAUAUGCCCUACAAGUACAAAGAUAAGCCAAUAAAAGAUGACCAAAAGAUUGGAAAUCUUCAUGCCAAAACUUGACUGACCCUUUUGGUCAUAGACAUUUUGGGACAAUGGAAAAUUAAGCCACAAUGUAGAUCAUGUGAAUCAUGUCCUACCAUCGGUCUCCAUCAAAAACCUGCCUAGAAUUGCUAUAUUGUAAUUCAGAUUUGCAAGGAUCCCCCAAUUUACAUUUUAAAUUAGAUUGCAGGUUAGUCCUUGAUAUAGUUUAAAUAUAUUGCACUUUAGCCCCUGAAAUAUUAGAUUUUAAACCCUUUAGACAAAACCAUGUGAGAUGCCUUUAUGAUAUGUAUUCCAAGCAAUUGUUUCAUCCACAAACUCAUAUUUGGCAGGACUCCUUAAAUUAGGGAGACCCAUACUUUUAUCUAUCAACUCCCUCAAUCUAGAUUUUUAGGAUUACAAAAAACAAAAUGUGCUAUGAAAAUCUUUUAUAAAAAUCUCAAUAUCACAACAGUCACUUCAUCUAUAUAUGCAUAUAUGGGCUUUACAUACAUUGACUAAAACCGUCCCAAGCAUUCAUAUUCACUUUUCAUACAUUUUUCUUAGGCAAAAAAAAUCAGAAAGUUCAUUUUCUUGAUUCUUUUCUGAUAUUAUAUACCAGCAAGAACAAGAAUAUGGCUAUUCGUUUGGCUGGUAAUCUUUCUAUGCAAAUUCUUACCGGUUCUAUCCUUGCUCCAAAAAACAAAGGAGCUUCAAGAUGUUCUGAUGUACCAAAAGGUUGUUUAGCGGUUUAUAUUGGGGAAAUUGAGAAGAAGCGAUUUGUAGUUCCAAUAUCUUAUCUAAAAGAGCCUUUAUUUCACGAUUUGUUAAGAAAAGCUGAAGAUGAGUUUGGCUUUGAUCAUCCAAUGGGUGGUUUGACAAUUCCUUGCGCAGAGGAAGCUUUCCUUUAUGUCACUUCCAACUUGAAAAGCAGAUCUUAAAAAUAUUCAGA
rnacentral:lncRNA from 1 species